rnacentral:misc_RNA from 1 species
AGCAGCCGCGGUAAUUCCAGCUCCAAUAGCGUAUAUUAAAGUUGUUGCAGUUAAAAAGCUCGUAGUUGAAUUUCGGGAUCAAUAUGUUGGUCGUGCCUCGGUACGUACUAGCUUAUUGGUUUCUCCUUUCUGAGGAACCAUGAUGUCAUUUAUUUGGUGUCGUGGGGAAUCAGGACUGUUACUUUGAAAAAAUUAGAGUGUUUAAAGCAGGCUCACGCUUGAAUACAUUAGCAUGGAAUAAUGAAAUAGGACGUUUGAUUCUAUUUUGUUGGUUUCUAGGAUCGACGUAAUGAUUAAUAGGGAUAGUUGGGGGCAUUAGUAUUCAAUUGUCAGAGGUGAAAUUCUUGGAUUUAUUGAAGACUAACUACUGCGAAAGCAUUUGCCAAGGAUGUUUUCAUUAAUCAAGAACGAAAGUUAGGGGAUCGAAGACGAUCAGAUACCGUCGUAGUCUUAACCAUAAACUAUGCCGACUAGGGAUCGGAUGAUGUUAAUUUUUUUAAUGACUCAUUCGGCGCCUUAC